UAUCCUGCUGAAGAACAGCCUUGGGUAUCUGCAUGCAGAGAUCAGCCUUAGUAGGAUACAGACCUGAACUCUUAAUUUAUAGUGCUGAACAGCUCUCAAGAAGAGGGGAGGGAUCUGCAGGAGAUGUCAACAUUGCUGAGCAAUGCUUUGGUUAAGAAGAAUCACGCCCAGAGGGAAAGAACACAGCUUAUUGCUGAGAGACUUUGUUCAUGCCAUACCCAGCUCCUCCUGAACCCUGUACCCUAAGAUCCAAGCACACAACUGUUAAAUUAGGAAAAAGACAUGAGCAUAAAUGCAUGCUAAUUUUUAGAUAGUUUCCACUCCGCUCUGAAAAGAUUUAAGUGGAAGUAUGCAACUGAGCACUGACGUUAAGACUUCAAGUUCACCGUACAAAACUGCAUCUUGCAAGUCAAUGUUGUGCGUAAAACAGGGUACCCUGUUCAGUGUCUGCAGAAACAGCAGAAAGCCUGAAGGAAUUACUGCUUGGCAGGCAGGACAAUCCAGCUAGAGCCUGAUGUAAUUUCCCAUCUGAGAGGGCACCAUUGCUCUUGGGAAACUCUUCAAGGGAAAAAAAAUGCUGAAAAUGCUGAUGCAACAGUUUUCUGCUCUAUUUGCUUCUCCAAGGUAUGCAUGAGCUACUGCACACCUUGCUGCUACAUAGUCCUUCAGGUCUCACCACUGUUCUCCCAGCACUGACAUGCAAAGAGCUGCAAGGAGGACAGGUCUCUUUCCAGGCCUGGCUGCUAUUUUUCUGCCCCCGUAUGGCCUAUAAUUUUAUGCCUAACUUGCUGUCCUCUGAACUCAUACUUUACAAAGGUCAGUGGUUUUGGAUGCCUGUAUUUUAUAUUUCUCAACUGGAAAUGCAUUGAAAGGCUGUGGGUUUUAGAAAAUGUUUAGCCUUAUCCCGCUCCGUGGAAAGGAGCUUUAAAGCAGUAUCGGGUUGGGUAUGCACAGUUAAAGGCAGGAAGAAGCACAGGUUUUGAAACUCUUCAUUUAGGAACAAAAUUCAGCAUUUGAGUAGAGCACUGAGUUUAACUGCCUUGGUAUUACAUUCCCCAGGUGACUUUCAGUAGAUACUGUGACAAUGAAAUCUUCCUAAACAGUGUUAAAAUUUGCCUUGUUUGAUACAUUCCCUCAUUUUAAUUGUGGUUCGGAGAAUAGAUGAAUCUUAGUGUAUUCUAUUUCUGCUAUUAAAUAUUAUAUAUGCUAUAUAUUUUUCUACUUUACUCCAUUUACUUUCCCCUUCCAGUUUCAGGCCAACAGUCCUCUGGGGUUUUUUUUGUCUACAAAGCUGCAUUCUCUUCUCAAUCCCAGUUCACAUGUUAGUCGUUGCUUCUGAUCUUUAGGAGACUGGUUUGUAUUCUCAUAAUGACCAAGAGGUAUCAGGUUAGGUUUAAACAAACCAACCCAUCCAUUUUCUCACCUAGCCUCCUGUUUCUCCCUCCAUCUUAAAACGUUGCCUUCAUGGAACACAACUGUAGAAAAGCAGACAGUUUCUCUUCACUUUUCUUCAAAUACCAGCAUUCUUCAAAUAUUAAGUAAGAUUUGUGUUUUCCUUCUGUAACCUUGGCUGUGCAGGGAGCCCAGCCAAGGGAACUACUCUUACAGUCUUCAGGGAAAAGGUGACCUUAAAAUAGCUCAAACUGAUGGAAGAACUUUCUAGGCUUGACACUGGAGUGUCCCCUAAGAGUUCCCUCAGGGGUGAGUGCAGGAAACAGCCCUUACUACAGUGUUGUGUAUUAAUCGGUAAUGUACGAUCCUAAAUGGCAUAACCCCCAAGGGGUGAUUUACCCAUUGACUGCAGCAGCCGCUACAGUCAGGAUCCACUCAGAACAGCUACUUAUUCUUGGCUUGAGCAGUUGGUACAGUCAUUGCCUGUUGUUUAAAUACUACAGUAUUUAAAAAUAAAAAGUUGCAGUGUUUCCUCUGUUUUCUCACUGAUCAAGAAUGUUAUGAGAUGUGAUGGUCACCCUGGCAGUCAGCUGCUGAGCGUGCUUAGUGGGAGAUGUUCUAGCUAUGAGGAUUUGAGCCACCCAGCCUCCUGCAGGUGGGGAGAUGGCUCCAGGAUUCCUGGUUGGCUUGGGACACAGGAGGACUCACUUUUGUAUGCAAGAGACCAUGUAGAUAUAAAUGUGGAUGUUCAUACGACCCCCAUUAAUGGAAUAUUGUCUAUGUCAUUGAUUGAUUUAUUUUCGUAAAGUCUCUGGGAUCUGAGGCCCAGUUAUCAGAUAUCUGAAGUGAUUAUAGCUUCUAUCUGGUCACAUGAAAAAUUUGCAGUGAAUCAGAACAUGACAUCAAGGUCUGUCAAAGCCCUGCCUAGUGCUAUAAAACAAUGUCUUACUAGCCCAGGAAACUUACAGAUACGGCAUGAUGAGAGACAGCAGAAAGACGACCAACAAUGCUUAAAGAGAAGAGGUAGCAGGGGUGAGUUACUUUGUGAUAAAUGAACAUACAAUCCAUGGCCUUCAUAAAAGCUAAGACAGCCUCUCCUAACUUAAGAUUCUGUUUGGGUUCAUGCUUUGUCAGCAGUGGACAAGGAAGGAUCACCAGCAGAGGAAGAAUCUUAGAAACUCAUUCCAUGUGGUUUUGGUUAUUCAAGCUUCUUCUCCCAUAACAGCGCUGUCCCCUCUUGCGGUGCCAGCAGUUUAUGAAUGGUUCUGCUUCACAGGUUCCUCUUCACGCCGGUACUUGCACCCUGAAACUGAAUAUUUCUGCAGAAAAGAAGGUGGGAACAGGUUGGAGACAGGAGUGUGAGUAUAGGGAAGGAGCGUGGGUGGGAAACAUCCAUUCAAAAUAUUAACUAUCCGCAGCUAACUCAGAAACCUACCUCCCAUGUUUAUCUAAUUACAAAAAAAUUAAUACAUUAAUUUCUUCAUUUCCAGCAAAUCAGUAUUUCCUGAAGUACUGUGAUACUUUCCCUGAGCCGAGCAGAGAUCCACUAGGGUUUUCGUUUACAGACAACUUGGUAAUAUCUUAUUACAUGUAGGAGUUGUGCUAGGUCAGAUAAAAAUGUGUCUUGCAUUCCUUGCUUGUCCCAGAGCUGCUGCACAGUAGAUGUUUCAAUGUGCUAAAGGCAUAAAGAGUUAGGAGUAUGCAGUUUUGGGAUUAUUAUUUUUUUUUAAUUAGGGAUAUUUCAAUAUAUUAUAGCCUUUACAGAGUAACUGCUUCUCCUGGGCUAGGAAAGAAUUUGGGAACAAUGCUAUAAAAUAAUUGGUAUUUUUGAUUCAACAAUAAUCCUGAAUAGUAAAAAAAGGAAGGUAUCUUUUACAGAAGCAGCCAUAAUCUGGUGUAAAGCAAAAUUUUAUAAAUUUUUAAUCUUCUCGUGAUUAAAUUGAAGACAAAUUAAGACAAACUUGUAUGGUUAGAUAUCAUCAAAAUAAAAUAUUUCAUCUUAAAACCAGUUUCAUUCAUUCUGAAUGAGCCAUGCAGGAAAACAGAGCAGUUCACAGAUCAUUUUCUGUUUACAGAAAGUUUCAGUUGAAAAACCUGGAUGAAUACUAUAUAAAAUCAAAUGUCAGUACCACCCCAAUCCAACUAAUUUGCAUAACAGAUAAAGACAAAUUAAAUCUUCUUUUUGUUUUGCUUUUCAAUUUAUUAGAUAGCUCAUUUAAUUAGAGUGAGUGCACAGCUGAGCAGUGAGCAAAUCUUUUGUCUAGGGUUGGGGUUUUUGCUUACUUUUAUAGAUAAGUUACAGGUGUUACGGCAGCAGGGUGAGGGGAAGAACUGUUUUGAUAUUUGAACAACUUGGCAUUCCUUUUCCGUGCGGAAUAAAAAUGUGUGUUGUAUUACAGAGCAGGCACCUUAGACCUGACGUUCUUCUAUUUCCUUCCUGUAAUAAAAAAAAAAAAAAAAAAGGGGGAACAAGAAGCAAAACUGUAUACUAGGAAAAAUAUAUGGCAAUAACAGUUUCUCACUAGGAAUGUGAAGUAGGCAGAUAAACUUCAGUUUCUAUACAGGUGAGAUCCAAGCUAAAUGCAAAAUGAUUGUGUAUGUGCAAAUUUCCUGGAGUUCUUGAGAUCGGUGUGUAGUGUGUUUCAGAACAGACUUUCCAGAUGCUGCAGUUAAAUCUUGAAAAGUUGUUCUGGAAAGUUAUUCCACAUUUAUGAUUCAGUAUCAGCUCAGCAGAACUAAGUGGGAAAUUGUGGCUUUUUCUGUGCUCUCAGCACUUCACUGUACUUGUGUCUAAUACGUAAAAGAUGCUGCUCGUGUGUUCAUUGUGUGUUGUUAUUUUGUUGUUACUUCUGAAUACACGAUUCAGCUCAAGCAUCUGGCUAACUGUUCCGGACCAUGCAAACUCACGUUGCAAUGCAGAGAGUUAUUAAAAUGAAACCCUCACUGCGUAAUGAAGGACAUUUUAACACUCAAGAACAGCUGUUCCUACAGGUGUUUGAAAAGGACACCUAUUUUGCAGCAACCUCUGAAGCUUGCCAGGCACUGCACAAGUGUGGUACUUGGAGGGCCGAGAGAGCAGUGCUGUUUGACAGCUCUAGAUUUUUCUUGCAUUUAUUUGCUUUUACUUUUAGGAAUAAACUGUGCCCAUAUCCCAUUACAGAUGGAAAAUUACUGGUGAUUCUCUUUGUACUUUGCAAAGUGUCACUCUGUCAUUCCACUGGAUCGGGGUAGGGAAUGGGAAUGGAGAUGGGGACUAUUGACAUGACCCUGGCUGUUCCCUAGAGACCUGCUGGUAACUCAGAGCUUGGCUCCCUCUCCCUGUGCAAGCAGAGAUGGGCAGUGAUCUACACAUCUGCUCCCACGUCCUCCACCUGUGCAUGGCGCUGUUGAAGGAGGGGUUCACUGAGAGGGUACUAGCUCCCUUGCGCUGCUGUGGAGACAUCUCCCAUCCUCUUUGACUCUUGACAGGGACACCUAGGAGGAGGUCCUCCAGGUCUCGAAAAUGAGUGAAACCCCUGUCUUCAGAUGCAUACUCAGCCACCUCAUGAAUGUAUGACAUCAUGUGAUGGAUAUGGCAGAGACCAGCACGUUCAGGCCUGUGCAAAGCAUGAGUGACUGCUGCUAAGCUGCUGCUGAAGGAGGUGUCUUCUGGAGGUGGUUUCCCUCAGCCAGGCAGGAUGCCAUCACCUGCCUCCACCAUCUCAGCGUGGGAGAGCAGACCCAGUGCUGUGCUGCAGAUGUAGGAGAGGAUGCACACAGCAGGAGGGCCGGGAAGGACCAAAAGAGUGGAUGUCGUAUGUGGUUUGUGAUAUCCCUACUAGUUUUUUUGCCUGUUGUGGUCUCAACAGCAGUGAGGUAUUUAAAGUGCAGGAUUUUGUUGCAGUAGGAAUGGUCACAGGGAGCUUCAGCAAAGCCCCUCCCCUGUUUUUUUUUUGCCUCCUAGACCGCCAGGAUCCCAAUUCAUGUGUGACUUUUUCCCUAAUGCACUCCAGCAGUGUUACUUUGAUCCUGCCCAGUGGAAGGAUGUCCUUGCAGACCUCAAAAUCUGUUUGCUCAAGCGUGUCUCCCUUCGCCACCCGCCACCGCCACAACCCCUUCAUGUCUCAGUCUUGUCUGGUUUUUGGUUUCGUUUUUUUUUUUUUAAUUAGAAAGAUUAGUGAAUUGAAUAUCCAGAACAGUUUUUAUUUGGCUCCAGGUUCAGCUUUAUUGUGCUGCUGCUGCUGAUCCUUUUGUUUUCCUUCUUACAGGGUGGUUGUGACAGGUUGGAGCACCUCAUUUGUGGAAGCAGACAGCCCAGAAAAUAAGGAAAAUACAACAGCUGGAUAAAUCCAGCUCUGAAGUCUGGAAUGGUUUCAUCCUGCGGAUUUCUCUAAAUCACAGCUAAGAAGGGGCACGGCUCACUGAGAAAAUGUGUGCCCUGUAAAAUAAAAGGAUUAGGAAACCA